GACAAACGCUGGCGGAAUGUAUUAGGCAUGCAAGUCGCACGAGCCUUCGGGCUAGUGGCGGACGGGUGAGUAACACGUGGGUAACCUGCCUCGUAGUGGGGAAUAACUCUCCGAAAGGAGAGCUAAUACCGCAUAACACCCCUGGUGAGAAUCCAGGCGGUAAAGGCUCCGGCGCUACGAGAGGGGUCCGCGGCCGAUUAGCUAGUUGGUGGGGUAACGGCCUACCAAGGCGACGAUCGGUAGCUGGUCUGAGAGGAUGGUCAGCCACACGGGGACUGAGAUACGGCCCCGACUCCUACGGGUGGCU
rnacentral:rRNA from 1 species